CAAACACACACAAUAACACAUGCAUGUGCUUACCAACACACACAACCUCUCUCUCGUCUCUCUUCCAACUCUCUUUUCUCUCCCCUCGCUCUCUUCUCUCUCUCCUCUCCCUCUCUGACUAAGCUUCAUAAGGAUAUAGAGUGGGACUGCACUUAGAGGCCUAACAGCCAUUACCCAGCGGGCUGCAGACGGCGUGUGGAGAGAGUCCUGGGGAGAUCCAUCAACAUUCUGCUGGCCUGGGGGGGACACGGGCAGAUUGGCGAAGUCGGGGUUCAGACCUGAGCCAACUCCCCGUGCUUACCGUGCGGAGCGAGUGACCGAGCAAGCAACAUGUUAUGCGGUGAUGCGCAUUCACAGCCCGUUGCGCUCGGUGAAAGCUCCUCACCGUUGCCGUGCUAGAGUUGGCCGUCAGCCAGGAAGAAGUGUGCCGGCUCAGCAUUCCUGGUCUCCAGUGCGUCUCUUCGGCCCAGGUUAUCCUGUGCCAGCUCUACGCACGGUACCCCCCAUUCACCAGCACAAACCAGUUCGUCCUGUGCCAGCGCUCCGCCCUUGCUGUGCUAAAAUAACCAUCCAGCCAGGACGGGGUGUGCCAGCCCUAAGCUCCAGACCUCCAGUGCGCCUCCACGGCCCAGUAUACCCUGUGCCUGCUCUGCGCACCCAGUCUCCUGUGCGUCUCCCCAGUCUGGUGAGACCGGUUCCAGCUCCACGUAGGAAGCCUCCAGUGAUGAUCUGUGGUCCAAAGCCUCCAGUGAUGAUCCAUGGCCCGGAGCCUGUAGGGAUGGUCCAUGGCACGAAGCCUCCAGUGAUGAUCCAUGGCGUGGAACCUGUAGUGAUGAUCCAUGGCACGGAGCCUGCAGCGACGCUCCCCAGUCCGGAGCCUCCAGCGACGCUCCCCAGUCCGGAGCCUCCAGCAACGCUCCCCAGUCCGGAGCCUCCUGAGACGGCCUGCAGCCCGGAGUCUUCAGCGACGGUCUGCAGCCCGGAGUCUUCAGCGACGGUGGUGUGGGGGCUACGCCCCGAACCAGAGCCGCCGCCAAUUAUAGAUGCCCACCCGGACCCUCGCCUAUAGGUUCAGGUUUGCGGCCGGGAGUCCGCACCUUUGGGGGGGGGGGGGUACUGUCACGCCCUGACCUGAGAGAGAUUGUUAAUUUCUCUAUUUUGUUAGGUCAGGGUGUGGGGUGGGCAUUCUAUAGUUUCUGUUUCUAUGUUUUGGCCAGGUAUGCUUUCCAAUCAGAGGCAGCUGCCUAUCGUUGUCUCUGAUUGGGAACCAUACUUAGGCAGCUCUUUUCCCUCCUUGAGUUGUGGGAUCUUAUUUUUGUACUGCUUUGUAAAGCCUGCAAGAUGUGACGGUCG
rnacentral:lncRNA from 1 species